rnacentral:rRNA from 1 species
AACGCUGGCGGCGUGCCUAAUACAUGCAAGUCGAGCGAACAGACGAGGAGCUUGCUCCUCUGACGUUAGCGGCGGACGGGUGAGUAACACGUGGAUAACCUACCUAUAAGACUGGGAUAACUUCGGGAAACCGGAGCUAAUACCGGAUAAUACAUUGAACCGCAUGGUUCAAUAGUGAAAGACGGUUUUGCUGUCACUUAUAGAUGGAUCCGCGCCGCAUUAGCUAGUUGGUAAGGUAACGGCUUACCAAGGCAACGAUGCGUAGCCGACCUGAGAGGGUGAUCGGCCACACUGGAACUGAGACACGGUCCAGACUCCUACGGGAGGCAGCAGUAGGGAAUCUUCCGCAAUGGGCGAAAGCCUGACGGAGCAACGCCGCGUGAGUGAUGAAGGUCUUCGGAUCGUAAAACUCUGUUAUUAGGGAAGAACAAAUGUGUAAGUAACUAUGCACGUCUUGACGGUACCUAAUCAGAAAGCCACGGCUAACUACGUG